rnacentral:lncRNA from 1 species
AGGCUGUGUUGGUUGGUUCCUUGAGAGUGUGGUUGGGCGAAUCCUCGAUUCAGGUUGCCGGUUAAAGACGAUGGUUGGCUUCGAGUUUUAUUUGCCAGGUUGCACUAGUUAUCGCUGCUUGCAGCAAGUUAUCCGGCUGUUCUUCAGCUAGUUAUCGGUGUUCUUCCUACGUCAUGAAGAUCAGGACAACGUGUCGCAUCAUCUGGUAUCAAAGCUUUCGUUACCACGGUAGGAAUUUUUGUCCCUAGCUACAUAUAUAUUUUGCUUCGUCCUAUCCACCAAAAAGCCAGAAAAAUAUAUUGCUUAGACCUUUGUUUCAAUCUAUUAUUUAGUGAGUUCGGUUAAGUCACAGUCCAUUAGAGUCUUUGUUUUAGUUGCUGAUCAUUUAUCCUUCGCGUGUUCUUUGUGCCUCUUUUAUAUCUAAAAAUCCCCACAAAAAUUCUCUAUAGCCUAUAUCAUCCUUUGUGUUAACUUUGAUCCUAUCUAGCUACUGGUUGUUGUUUCAUUUCUAUCUUUAGUUGUGCAAGUAUCAUAAUCUGAUCCCUGUUUUUAGUUAUAUAUAAAAAGAAAAAAGUGUGUCAAAAAAAAGAAAGUGCAAAAAAAAGUGAAGUGAAAAAGAAAAGUUGAGAAAGGUUCAGAGAGAAAGUCUAAAAGAUUAGUUGGUUUAUGUGCACAAGUGCUGAAAGUUUCAUAUCAACUUCUGCAACCAGUUUGCUAUCUUUGUUUGGUGCAAAACUUUGAUUGGGUCUGAUUGCAACACUUGCAUCACAAUCAUACUCCUUGUUUGCAUCAAUUCUGAAAUUUCUUUGCAUGCGUGUGAUCUAUUUAUACACUUCAAAUCUUUUGAUCAGCACUAGGCAGAGAACUUCUUGUUUGGAUCGUUACUUAACUUUACAAAAACUAGAAUUCAAAUUGCAUUCCUUGUGUAUUACUCCCCACCAAGCUCCACAUAAAAACCAUCGUAAUCGGUACUCUCUGUUCUUGUAUUCGCCUCGCCAUCACUUUCAGUUGCCACCACAUAUUUGUUCCUUGUAAUCUACAGUAGAGGAAUUCAUAAGAGCUUCGGUGGUUAGAGAGGUGAGUUGUGAGGGCCACCAAAUUUUCAUAUUCCACAAAUACAAAUUAUUUGUAUUCAGCUAACCUUACAGGA